UUCUCCUACGGGACGCAGCAGUAGGGAAUUUUCGUCAAUGGGCGCAAGCCUGAACGAGCGAUGCCGCGUGAGUGAAGAAGGCCUUCGGGUCGUAAAGCUCUGUUGCGGGGGAAAAAAGGCAGCAUCAGGAAAUGGGUGCUGACUGAUGGUGCCCCGCCAGAAAGUCACGGCUAACUACGUGCCAGCAGCCGCGGUAAUACGUAGGUGGCAAGCGUUAUCCGGAUUUAUUGGGUGUAAAGGGCGUGUAGGCGGGAAAGCAAGUCAGAUGUGAAAACUCAGGGCUCAACCCUGAGCCUGCAUUUGAA
rnacentral:rRNA from 1 species